AAAUCUGACAAACGAAGCAUUCCUUAUAAGGGUGUGGAAACCUCUCCCUAGCAUACGCGUUCUAAAACCUUAAGAGGAAGCCGAGAAGGAAAGUCCAGAGAGG